rnacentral:ncRNA from 1 species
UUCGAUUCCGGAGAGGGAGCCUGAGAAACGGCUACCACAAUCCAAGGGAAUUCGCAGGCGCGCAAAUUACCCAUUCCCGACGCGGGGAGGUAGUGACGAAAAAUAACAAUGCAGGACUCGUUCGAGGCCCUGUAAUUGGAAUGAGUACACUUUAAAAGCUUUAACGAGUAUCCAUUGGAGGGCAAGUCUGGUGCCAGCAGCCGCGGUAAUUCCAGCUCCAAAAGUAUAUAUUUAAGUUGUUGCGGUUAAAAAGCUCGUAGUUGGAUUUUGGGCGCAGGCGGCCGGUCCGUCGCAAGGCGUGUACUGGACGUCCUGGCCUUCCCUCCGGUUCUCCGCCGGUGCUCUUGACUGAGUGUCGGCGGCGGCCGGAACGUUUACUUUGAAAAAAUUAGAGUGUUCAAAGCAGGCUCUCGAGCCUGGAUAAUGGUGCAUGGAAUAAUGGAAUAGGACCUCGGUUCUAUUUUGUUGGUUUUCGGAGCGCGAGGUAAUGAUUAAGAGGGACAGACGGGGGCAUUCGUACUGUGCCGUUAGAGGUGAAAUUCUUGGAUCGGCGCAAGACGAACGACUGCGAAAGCAUUUGCCAAGAAUGUUUUCUUUAAUCAAGAGCGAAAGUCAGAGGUUCGAAGACGAUCAGAUACCGUCCUAGUUCUGACUAUAAACGAUGCCAACUAGCGAUCGGGGGGGCGUUACAUUGACGACCCCUCCGGCAGCUUACGGGAAACCAAAGUCUUUGGGUUCCGGGGGGAAGUAUGGGUUGCAAAGCUGAAACUUAAA